rnacentral:misc_RNA from 1 species
GUGCUGGUGCACCGAACUGCUUUCCUCACGUUCGAUCAGUCAUUGCUCCACGAGAUAACGUUGGAUGCGAAGCGAUGGGUUCCUGUGUUGCCUACCUAUUGAGAUGGGAAUCGGUUGACAUCGUCGUGCCUUUCGUCCUCGCGUCCUCUCGGACGUUCGGAUGGACUAGACGGAAGGGCUCGUGUUCCACGGACGUCUCGCACGAUAGUCCCGAUGGACCGCGAGCUCCUUCUCGUUCUCUCGGAUGCGGAAAGUCCCUCAUGGGCGUGGGUCAAAUGGCCCUCGGUCCCGAAUCUGUAAGCGAUCGACGCUUUACAUGGGAAGGACGAUCUCACCUCGUCUUCGACCACGCGGAGCGGACGGGAAACGCUCCCGCGAUGGAUCGUGCGGGUGGACGUCGUGAAGGAAUGC